rnacentral:rRNA from 1 species
UACAGAGGUCUCAAGCGUUGUUCGGAUUCAUUGGGCGUAAAGGGUGCGUAGGUGGCGCGCUAAGUCAGGUGUGAAAUUUCGGAGCUUAACUCCGAAACUGCAUUUGAUACUGGCGUGCUUGAGGACUGGAGAGGAGACUGGAAUUCAUGGUGUAGCAGUGAAAUGCGUAGAGAUCAUGAGGAAGACCAGUGGCGAAGGCGGGUCUCUGGACAGUUCCUGACACUGAGGCACGAAGGCCAGGGGAGCAAACAGG